rnacentral:tRNA from 1 species
UUCCUGGUGGCUCAGUGGUAAAGAAUCUGCCUGCCAGUGCAGGAGACAUGGGUUUGAAUCUAAUCCAGGAAG